rnacentral:rRNA from 2 species
CUAAAAACCCCCCUUUUUUUAAAAUUUAAGACCUCAAAUCAGGUGGGACUACCCGC